AGCCCUUCGGGGUGGAUUAGUGGCGAACGGGUGAGUAACACGUGGGCAAUCUGCCCUUCACUCUGGGACAAGCCCUGGAAACGGGGUCUAAUACCGGAUACAACCACUGACCGCAUGGUCGGGUGGUGGAAAGCUCCGGCGGUGAAGGAUGAGCCCGCGGCCUAUCAGCUUGUUGGUGAGGUAAUGGCUCACCAAGGCGACGACGGGUAGCCGGCCUGAGAGGGCGACCGGCCACACUGGGACUGAGACACGGCCCAGACUCCUACGGGAGGCAGCAGUGGGGAAUAUUGCACAAUGGGCGAAAGCCUGAUGCAGCGACGCCGCGUGAGGGAUGACGGCCUUCGGGUUGUAAACCUCUUUCAGCAGGGAAGAAGCGAAAGUGACGGUACCUGCAGAAGAAGCGCCGGCUAACUACGUGCCAGCAGCCGCGGUAAUACGUAGGGCGCAAGCGUUGUCCGGAAUUAUUGGGCGUAAAGAGCUCGUAGGCGGCUUGUCACGUCGAUUGUGAAAGCCCGAGGCUUAACCUCGGGUCUGCAGUCGAUACGGGCUAGCUAGAGUGUGGUAGGGGAGAUCGGAAUUCCUGGUGUAGCGGUGAAAUGCGCAGAUAUCAGGAGGAACACCGGUGGCGAAGGCGGAUCUCUGGGCCAUUACUGACGCUGAGGAGCGAAAGCGUGGGGAGCGAACAGGAUUAGAUACCCUGGUAGUCCACGCCGUAAACGGUGGGAACUAGGUGUUGGCGACAUUCCACGUCGUCGGUGCCGCAGCUAACGCAUUAAGUUCCCCGCCUG
rnacentral:rRNA from 2 species